rnacentral:rRNA from 1 species
GAAGGUGGCCUGUGAGGGUUGCUGGAGGUAUCAGAAGUGCGAAUGCUGACAUAAGUAACGAUAAAGCGGGUGAAAAGCCCGCUCGCCGGAAGACCAAGGGUUCCUGUCCAACGUUAAUCGGGGCAGGGUGAGUCGACCCCUAAGGCGAGGCCGAAAGGCGUAGUCGAUGGGAAACAGGUUAAUAUUCCUGUACUUGGUGUUACUGCGAAGGGGGGACGGAGAAGGCUAUGUUGGCCGGGCGACGGUUGUCCCGGUUUAAGCGUGUAGGCUGGUUUUCCAGGCAAAUCCGGAAAACCAAGGCUGAGGCGUGAUGACGAGGCACUACGGUGCUGAAGCGACAAAUGCCCUGCUUCCAGGAAAAGCCUCUAAGCAUCAGGUAACAUCAAAUCGUACCCCAAACCGACACAGGUGGUCAGGUAGAGAAUACCAAGGCGCUUGAGAGAACUCGGGUGAAGGAACUAGGCAAAAUGGUGCCGUAACUUCGGGAGAAGGCACGCUGAUAUGUAGGUGAAGCGACUUGCUCGUGGAGCUGAAAUCAGUCGAAGAUACCAGCUGGCUGCAACUGUUUAUUAAAAACACAGCACUGUGCAAACACGAAAGUGGACGUAUACGGUGUGACGCCUGCCCGGUGCCGGAAG